AUAGACCCGAAACCCGGUGAUCUAGCCAUGGGCAGGUUGAAGGUUGGGUAACACUAACUGGAGGACCGAACCGACUAAUGUUGAAAAAUUAGCGGAUGACCUGUGGCUGGGGGUGAAAGGCCAAUCAAACCGGGAGAUAGCUGGUUCUCCCCGAAAGCUAUUUAGGUAGCGCCUCGUGAAUUCAUCUCCGGGGGUAGAGCACUGUUUCGGCUAGGGGGCCAUCCCGGCUUACCAACCCGAUGCAAACUGCGAAUACCGGAGAAUGUUAUCACGGGAGACACACGGCGGGUGCUAACGUCCGUCGUGAAGAGGGAAACAACCCAGACCGCCAGCUAAGGUCCCAAAGUCAUGGUUAAGUGGGAAACGAUGUGGGAAGGCCCAGACAGCCAGGAUGUUGGCUUAGAAGCAGCCAUCAUUUAAAGAAAGCGUAAUAGCUCACUGGUCGAGUCGGCCUGCGCGGAAGAUGUAACGGGGCUAAACCAUGCACCGAAGCUGCGGCAGCGACACUGUGUGUUGUUGGGUAGGGGAGCGUUCUGUAAGCCUGUGAAGGUGUGUCGUGAGGCAUGCUGGAGGUAUCAGAAGUGCGAAUGCUGACAUAAGUAACGAUAAAGCGGGUGAAAAGCCCGCUCGCCGGAAGACCAAGGGUUCCUGUCCAACGUUAAUCGGGGCAGGGUGAGUCGACCCCUAAGGCGAGGCCGAAAGGCGUAGUCGAUGGGAAACGGGUUAAUAUUCCCGUACUUGGUGUUACUGCGAAGGGGGGACGGAGAAGGCUAUGUUGGCCGGGCGACGGUUGUCCCGGUUUAAGCGUGUAGGUGUGUGUUCCAGGUAAAUCCGGUUCACUUUAACACUGAGGCGUGACGACGAGGCACUACGGUGCUGAAGCAACAAAUGCCCUGCUUCCAGGAAAAGCCUCUAAGCAUCAGGUAACAUCAAAUCGUACCCCAAACCGACACAGGUGGUCAGGUAGAGAAUACCAAGGCGCUUGAGAGAACUCGGGUGAAGGAACUAGGCAAAAUGGUGCCGUAACUUCGGGAGAAGGCACGCUGACACGUAGGUGAAGUGAUUUACUCAUGGAGCUGAAGUCAGUCGAAGAUACCAGCUGGCUGCAACUGUUUAUUAAAAACACAGCACUGUGCAAACACGAAAGUGGACGUAUACGGUGUGACGCCUGCCCGGUGCCGGAAGGUUAAUUGAUGGGGUCAGCGCAAGCGAAGCUCCUGAUCGAAGCCCCGGUAAACGGCGGCCGUAACUAUAACGGUCCUAAGGUAGCGAAAUUCCUUGUCGGGUAAGUUCCGACCUGCACGAAUGGCGUAAUGAUGGCCAGGCUGUCUCCACCCGAGACUCAGUGAAAUUGAACUCGCUGUGAAGAUGCAGUGUACCCGCGGCAAGACGGAAAGACCCCGUGAACCUUUACUAUAGCUUGACACUGAACAUUGAGCCUUGAUGUGUAGGAUAGGUGGGAGGCUUUGAAGUGUGGACGCCAGUCUGCAUGGAGCCGACCUUGAAAUACCACCCUUUAAUGUUUGAUGUUCUAACGUGGACCCGUUACCCGGGUUGCGGACAGUGUCUGGUGGGUAGUUUGACUGGGGCGGUCUCCUCCUAAAGAGUAACGGAGGAGCACGAAGGUUGGCUAAUCCUGGUCGGACAUCAGGAGGUUAGUGCAAUGGCAUAAGCCAGCUUGACUGCGAGCGUGACGGCGCGAGCAGGUGCGAAAGCAGGUCAUAGUGAUCCGGUGGUUCUGAAUGGAAGGGCCAUCGCUCAACGGAUAAAAGGUACUCCGGGGAUAACAGGCUGAUACCGCCCAAGAGUUCAUAUCGACGGCGGUGUUUGGCACCUCGAUGUCGGCUCAUCACAUCCUGGGGCUGAAGUAGGUCCCAAGGGUAUGGCUGUUCGCCAUUUAAAGUGGUACGCGAGCUGGGUUUAGAACGUCGUGAGACAGUUCGGUCCCUAUCUGCCGUGGGCGCUGGAGAACUGAGGGGGGCUGCUCCUAGUACGAGAGGACCGGAGUGGACGCAUCACUGGUGUUCGGGUUGUCAUGCCAAUGGCACUGCCCGGUAGCUAAAUGCGGAAGAGAUAAGUGCUGAAAGCAUCUAAGCACGAAACUUGCCCCGA
rnacentral:rRNA from 1 species